GCUCUAGUAGCUUAACCAUAAAGCGCCGGUCUU
rnacentral:tRNA from 1 species